UCGAUCUAUUUCCUUAUAGCCAAUACACAGAAAUGGAGUUGUUGAUCAUAAAAUCUACAAACUGUGCAUCAAAAAAGGAGUUGAAUUUAAAGGAGUAACCAUGCCGACCAAUAUGGGCUGCUCCGGUUGGUUUUUCCGACAUUGUCUUUGGCAGCUUCUCAACACAGCGGCAUCUCUAAGGACUUUCCGGCGCGGUGGUUGUUUAGCAAGAGAAAAUCAAGGGUCCUUUUUUGUUGGAGGAACUGGAGAGAUGCACGGUGGUUUUGAUGUCUGGUGGGCUCAGUCAAUGCUUUUUCUUAACCAAAAGUUUAGAAGAAUUUCAAGUGGAUUGAUCCGGUAUGAGACUUAAGAAUUGGAUGAAUAAGGGAGUAAUUAUCAUUCGAGGGAGGUUGCAGAAGGUGAUGAAGUGUAUUUGUUCAGGUGAGCAAUUGAAGGUAGAUGAAAGGGUUCAUAUUCGAUGGAGUCCUUAGCGACUCGGCACUAUUUAGCAAGUGGCUAUUCAUCCCGAGCUGGUGAGAUGGAAACAAAGGUGGACAAUAGCAACAUUGAAGAAGCAGAGUGUUUUCUUCGUGAGAGUGGUUAUCUGAACUAGGAGAGUUUGAUCUGGAGGAUUGUCCACUUGAAUGUUCAAGGCCUUGUGAGAUUGUUUGUCCUGCUAUCACUCAAUGAAGGAAACUCUACAUUAGAAGUUUUGAAUGGUACCAAUGCAUCUAAAUUCUUAAAGGGUGGAGUUAUAACUGGACGCUGUUAUGGCUGUGGCCGUUGCUUUCCAGUUUGCCCCUACAGUAAUAUAAGUGGGUGUUACUUUCCUUCGUCAUGCGGCUGAUUUUCCUUAACAUGGGCUAUGUAGCCUCUUUUUUAUUUCUUUUUGAAGCCUUCAUUAAGAUUCCAAUCUUAAUUACAUUUGAAAUCAUAAACUCGUGUAUUCUUCCUCUUCUAGUGUUUUAAAUUAGAUCUCUUUCAUUAUUUUCACGUUUAAUCUCACAAACUUGUUUAGGGGUGGUUACAUAUAUAAGAGAUACUACUGCUACAGCUGAUCUUAUAAAGAGAAAUGGUAUUGAUGCUGUGGAGAUACAUACAAGUGGAAGGCAGACUGCUUUAUUUGAAGAACUUUGGGAUGGCUUGGGAGAUUCAAUUGCACAUCUGAGACUAACAGUGUGCGUGUGUGUGAAUGUUUGACACUAAGUUGUAAAGCAGUUUCCUGUCGAGUAUAGUGAAGAUUGUGAAUUAAUACUUUCUGGCUCCAGGUUAGCUUACCUAAUAUUGGGGAUUCAACCAUAUCCUCAAUGAACACGAUGUACUCUAUUAUGGAACCUAAUCUAGCUACCUUGCUUCAAUUUAUGGCAGUUGGAUGGCGACCCCAUGAGUAGAGAUAUUGGACGAGGUGCCACAAGGGAAUCAAUUGCCUUCGCUGUUUGAUUGGCUGCUGUGAAAGACAGGCCUCCUGGUUUGUAUCUGGAUUCCUAUGUUCAUAGAGAAUGUGUUAAGUUUCAAUUUUGCUUUUGGUAAGGUGUCGGUUCUUUACUCCUUCCAAAUGGUAGGUUUUCUUCAAUUGGAAGGUGGCACCAAUGCUCACACAGUUGAAAAAAUUAAAGAAAAUGGGACUUUU